CCCUCCAGGCCGCCCUCCUAAACUCCACCCUGAAACUUCCAGAAGACCCCUGAACCUGGAAGGAGACUCUUCUGGAACCAGGGCACUGGGAAGGAGGGGAGCCCGGGCAGGGAGCGGAGAACUGAGAGUCCAGGGCUUCAGCCACCUUCCCAGGGGAGAAGGGAGCGCAGUGUACCCACUGUGCCCCUGGGAAUUAGAAACCUGGUUCCUUAGCAGCUGUGGGGCCCCGGCCAGGCGCUGGCUUCUCUGGUGGGCACUUUCAGUGUGGGUGUCUUGGCUCCUCUCCUCCUCCCCACAGCCCUGGGAGGAAGCCACUUUUAUUAUCCCCGUUUCACAGAUGAGGAAACCGUGAGGCUCAGCCAUACGUGACUUGGUUAUGUCCAUGGAUCCGGCUGAGGGGCAGAGCUGGGAUCCAACCCUGGGUAGCUCCUGUCUGCUGAACUCCUGCAAUCAGUCAUGGCUCACAUUUAUGGAGCACUGCCUGUAUACCUUAGGAGCAACUGGUUUUGUUCCUGACCUCGUUGCAGCCUUGUGAUUCAGAGAACUGAAGCCGCUUGUCCGGGGCCACACAGCCAAUGGGACUUGGGAGUUCACAGUGAUAACUAGGAUGGGGUGAGGUCGCCCACAGCCCCUGCCUGCGGCCCAGGACACUGUCCUUCUUCUCCUCCUUGCGUAUCCUGGUCAGGCCAGCUUUCUGUCUGGGGACACUGAGGACAGAGGCAGCUGCUAGUCCUGCUCGCCCGGCCACCUAGUGACCAGUCAGCGAACACAUGUGGAGAGUGGUCAGGUGGUGAACGACAGCAGGACCGACCGUUGGACCUUUUGCCAAGGUGACCUGGAAUCCUCCCAGAAAUUCACCAUGAGCUCGCCCAGGCAACAGAGCCACCUGCCUCCCUUCAUCAUCUUCACGGCAAUCUUACAAGAUGGAUGCUUUUAUUGCCUCUGUUGGAAACAGCCUCUGGACUCUGGGGAGAAAAGGACUUCUCCCUACAACCCUCUCCUCAGCCGGCCAUCAGCUCCACCCCGGGAGAAGCCUGCCUGGGGCCCUGACCUGACCACCGGGGUCUGAGUGAGUGGGCAUCUGCUGGACUCAGAGCCUAAGGCUUGAGACUUUAGAUCUGACACUUGAGCUCAGCAUGCAGAGGGAAUGUCUGUCACGGGCCUGUCAUGAUUAAGUGUGUUUGCAGUGCUUAGAACUAAUCUAGAAAUGUUUGUUGUGGUUGGAUUCUGUCGAUGGCAGUGCCCAGCAUUAAGGAUUGUCACUUUCUUGAUUCAGAACCUAUAGAGUGGAAUUGUAUUGAGCGAUUUGAGUGAAUAAAGCAUUGAAAAGGGCAGAAGCCC